UGACCCCCACACGACUGGCGCAGGUGGGUGACCACCAGGGAGUGAAGCCGUGGAGCAUCGAACGCCUGGGUGCUCCCC
rnacentral:ncRNA from 2 species